AUUGAACGCUGGCGGCAGGCUUAACACAUGCAAGUCGAACGAGUGGCGGACGGGUGAGUAAUGUCUGGGAAACUGCCUGACGGAGGGGGAUAACUACUGGAAACGGUAGCUAAUACCGCAUACCAUCGGAUGUGCCCAGAUGGGACUAGCUAGUAGGUGGGGUAAAGGCUCACCUAGGCGACGAUCCCUAGCUGGUCUGGGAGGAGGACCAGCCCCACUGGAACUGAGACACUGACCAGACUCCUACGGGAGGCAGAAGUGGGUAAUAUUGCACAAUGGGCGAAAGCCUGAUGCAGCCAUGCCGGUUGUAUGAAGAAGGCCUUCGGGUUGUAAAGUACUUUCAGCUGGAAGGCGUUACCCGCAGAAGAAGCACCGGCUAACUCCGUGCCAGCAGCCGCGGUAAUUC
rnacentral:rRNA from 1 species